UCUCCGUAGGUGAACCUGCGGAGGGAUCAUUACAGAGUUCAUGCCCUACCGGGUAGAUCUCCCUCCCUAUGUUAUUAUUACUUUGUUGCUUUGGCGGGCCGUUAGGCUCCGGCCCGACUACCGGCCCCGGCUGAUAAGCGCCCGCCAGAGGACCCAAAACCCUGAAUAUUAGUGUCGUCUGAGUACUAUAUAAUAGUUAAAACUUUCAACAACGGAUCUCUUGGUUCUG
rnacentral:misc_RNA from 1 species